rnacentral:misc_RNA from 1 species
AUAACAUUAAAACUUUCCCCAGAAAUUUGAGUACACGAAACAAUUAUUGCAGCAAGAACAAUUGUUCCUGUACUAGUAGGAUAACAACAACAUCAUAAGCAGAAAGCUGUUACACAGAGCAGCUACAACAUUUUCAUAAUUUUAAGACAAACUAAAAGUUCUCCUAUAGCAUAACAUUCUAAGACACAUCUAACUUCUUACCACCACCACCAUCCAUUUACACUUGGACAAUGAAACAACAAGAUAUAAGAUCCAAAUGUCGGGUUACAACAAUUUGGUCACGAUUUGUUUUAAGAUACAGUGCGUCCAUAGCAUAGACAAGAAAGAUACAGAUUCUUUCCCCAUUUUUCCUUAACAUGUGUGCUGGGAAACUGAGAUGUUCGCAGAGUUUCUUGAGUCUCAUCACCAGGUCUUCGGCGAGGUACACUCAGGAUAAGAGCAGCUUGGUCUGGCGUAGCAGCUGUUGCCGUAAUACGAUAACCAUUAUCCCACCUCUUAUGAAUACCCUCACUAGGAUAAAGGAAAUCAAGCUCUACCACCUGAUCACUGAAGCCUGAAUUGCGUGACAUAACAACAGCCCACCUAGUGUUAGCAGUUGCCAUGGAGGUCACAUGGAACCCUUCUUUCCAUUUCUUGCUUAUCCACUUGAAGGGAAAUGACUCACUGACUUUAUAAGACUGUUGAGUGAACUGUGUGCCUUUUGACAUUACUACUAAAGAGGCUCCAUUUAUGCCACCAGCAAGAGAACUAAUAUAAUAGUUUUUCUCCCAUUGCUCCAUAAUCCACUCCUUGUGUAAGAAGAAAGGUGACAGCUCAUAAACUUGGCUAGUGAAGUUCGUUCCAGCAUCCAUGAUGAUAGCCCAUAAGCUAGAACAUGAUGCUACACAACUUAUAGACAAACCAUCCACAGACCCUUUCUCCACAUGCUGUGCCAAUCUUGUGUCUGCUACAUUGUAAUGGUACCUCUGUUUCAUCGGCUUUCUGGCAUUAUAUAUUGAAAUCCAUUGCGUCGCAGGAACACCGAUUCGAAUUUUCUUCUGAGGCUGCUCUUCUUCCUCAUUUAAAGUUAGUCUCCCCCGCUUUUGGCCAACUUGAAUAGCCUUUUGAGCACCAUCUGUGUUGAUCGGCCUUAUAGCAGGAUCAGCUCCAAGCAAGCUCCCAAAUAAAGAGAUUAACUUUGAAUAUUUCGGUUCUUCAUCAAACUUCAUGUUAAUUACUGUAUCAAGAAAUUCUCUAAAAGGUGCAGGGCAGAAGCAACAAAGCAUCUCUGGAGAUGUUGCCAUCUUUUUUUUACAGACUAAAAAUGAUUUGUUAUCACCCUGAUAGCCCUGCCAUGGGAGCCUGCCUCGAUGAAGAAAAAUUAGUGUAUAUGCAAGUGAUUCCAAAUCAUCUCUUCUACUGGCAGUCCUUCCCAAGUGAGCAUGUGCACUUGCAUAGCGAACAGUCCCUCUGAACGUGUCAGGACGCUGAUCAUAUCCGACAUGCUGCCCUUUUGAAGUGUCUUUCCACUUUGUGGCCAGUCCCAAGUCAACUAGGAACAACUUCUUCUCUUGUGGUGUUGAUGGCUGGCCAAGUAAAAAGUUUUCUGGCUUCACAUCUCCAUGAACAUAACCUUUCGCAUGCAGCUUUUCCAAAAUCGACAAUGACUCAACUGCAAUACAAGCCACCAUUUCUGCUGACAUUGAUUGCCCAGAGGAAUUCCAUACAUCCCAUAAGCUAGGCCCUAGCAUGUCCAUAACCAUUACGUAAUAGUCUCCUACCCUCCCUUUAUAAUGCACGCUAGGCACUCCAUGGCUGCCUCCAAGAGUAUUGUAAACUUGCCACUCAUGUGGAGGACCAUAGUUACAGCCUUUGCUUUUCAUAUGCUCAAAUUUCAGUGCAACCUCAACAGCCCCUUGACCAUUUGAAGAUUCAUUUCCACCAGAAAGACGACGACCCAAAAAGACCUGACCAAACCCACCUUUACCUAACUUCCUUUCAACCUGAUAAACUGGCGACAUUCCUACUUUCACCUUUUUAGGGAUAGGAGAGUUUUUACCAUCAUCAUCUUGCUCAGUUCCUUUGUUAUUAGCACUCAACCCACCGCUCUGAUCCCCCAUUUCCUCUUCAACUCUUCUGCUUUUGCCUUAGCAGCACAGGUCUUUACGAAACUUCUUCCCUUCCCGCUGGCUGCUGGUUUUUCAACACCUACAGGCAUUAGCGUUCUUUACAAACAAUGCAAGUAGAACAAAACCCAAAGUGACCAUCAUCAAUACAAAAUUGAUCGUUUGAAUUCUUCAACAAGUUUUCAACAGCGAUCGAAACAAAUAGAAAGAUGAAUGAGCAGUAAGAUUAAAGAGGUCUUGAUGCUAGGGUUUGUUGAAGAAACAUCCAAAAGAAAU